rnacentral:rRNA from 1 species
AAGGAUGGGUCUGCGGCCUAUCAGGUAGUAGUGGGUGUAAUGUACCUACUAGCCUACGACGGGUACGGGUUGUGAGAGCAAGAGCCCGGAGAUGGAUUCUGAGACAUGAAUCCAGGCCCUACGGGGCGCAGCAGGCGCGAAAACUUUACAAUGCGGGAAACCGUGAUAAGGGGACACCGAGUGCCAGCAUCCUAUGCUGGCUGUCCAGGUGUGUAAAAUACACCUGUUAGCAAGGGCCGGGCAAGACCGGUGCCAGCCGCCGCGGUAACACCGGCGGCCCGAGUGGUGAUCGUGUUUAUUGGGUCUAAAGGGUCCGUAGCCGGUUUGGUCAGUCCUCCGGGAAAUCUGACAGCUUAACUGUUAGGCUUUCGGAGGAUACUGCCUGACUUGGAACCAGGAGAGGUAAGAGGUGCUACAGGGGUAGGAGUGAAAUCUUGUAAUCCCUGUGGGACCACCUGUGGCGAAGGCGUCUUACCAGAACGGGUUCGACGGUGAGGGACGAAAGCUGGGGGCACGAACCGGAUUAGAUACCCGGGUAGUCCCAGCCGUAAACGAUGCUCGCUAGGUGUCAGGCAUGGCGCGACCGUGUCUGGUGCCGCAGGGAAGCCGUGAAGCGAGCCACCUGGGAAGUACGGCCGCAAGGCUGAAACUUAGAGGAAUUGGCGGGGGAGCAC